GACGAACGCUGGCGGCGUGCCUAAUACAUGCAAGUUGAGCGCUGAAGGUUGGUACUUGUACCGACUGGAUGAGCAGCGAACGGGUGAGUAACGCGUGGGGAAUCUGCCUUUGAGCGGGGGACAACAUUUGGAAACGAAUGCUAAUACCGCAUAAAAACUUUAAACACAAGUUUUAAGUUUGAAAGAUGCAAUUGCAUCACUCAAAGAUGAUCCCGCGUUGUAUUAGCUAGUUGGUGAGGUAAAGGCUCACCAAGGCGAUGAUACAUAGCCGACCUGAGAGGGGGAUCGGCCACAUUGGGACUGAGACACGGCCCAAACUCCUACGGGAGGCAGCAGUAGGGAAUCUUCGGCAAUGGACGAAAGUCUGACCGAGCAACGCCGCGUGAGUGAAGAAGGUUGUCGGAUCGUAAAACUCGGUUGGUAGAGAAGAACGUUGGUGAGAGUGGAAAGCUCAUCAAGUGACGGUAACUACCCAGAAAGGGACGGCUAACUACGUG
rnacentral:rRNA from 1 species